CCUACGGGAGGCAGCAGUAGGGAAUCUUUCACAAUGGGCGAAAGCCUGAUGGAGCAACGCCGCGUGCAGGAUGAAGGCCUUCGGGUUGUAAACUGCUUUUAUAAGCGAGAAAUAUGAUGGUAACUUAUGAAUAAGGAUCGGCUAACUACGUGCCAGCAGCCGCGGUCAUACGUAGGAUCCGAGCAUUAUCCGGAGUGACUGGGUGUAAAGAGUUGCGUAGGUGGCAUAAGAAGUAGCUAGUGAAAUCUGGUGGCUCAACCAUUCAGACUAUUAGCUAAACUGUUAAGCUCGAGACCGUUAGGGGUAACUGGAAUUUCGAGUGUAGGAGUGAAAUCCGUAGAUAUUAGAAGGAACACCAAUAGCGUAGGCAGGUUGCUGGGACGGUUCUGACACUAAGGCACGAAAGCGUAGGGAGCAAACGGGAUUAGAUACCCCAGUAGUC
rnacentral:rRNA from 1 species